UACGGAGGAUCCAAGCGUUAUCCGGAAUCAUUGGGUUUAAAGGGUCCGUAGGCGGUUUUGUAAGUCAGUGGUGAAAGCCCAUCGCUCAACGGUGGAACGGCCAUUGAUACUGCAAGACUUGAAUUACUAGGAAGUAACUAGAAUAUGUAGUGUAGCGGUGAAAUGCUUAGAUAUUACAUGGAAUACCAAUUGCGAAGGCAGGUUACUACUAGUGGAUUGACGCUGAUGGACGAAAGCGUGAGGAGCGAACAGG
rnacentral:rRNA from 1 species